CAGGAUAGCUCAGUCGAUAGAGCACAAGACUCUUAAUCUCAGGGUUGUGGGUUCAAGUCCCACAUUGGGUGAAAGA